AGGCCAUUAAUCGGCACGCAAAGUCCUUGAACUCCAUUCUGCAGUAAGCAUCAUAUAGCCAGGAGUUUAAUUCAUUUUGGUUUUUACUAAGAAAUUGUGUAGCGAUGACGUUAUUAGCAGGAUUGAUUCAUCGGCUGUUAGCACACCUCCCCCCCGGUGACAACACAAGAAGAAGCUGAAGAAAUCAUGUCCUCUCUGGCUGGAGAUGAUCCUAACCACUC